rnacentral:rRNA from 1 species
UGGUGGAGCGAUUUGUCUGGUUAAUUCCGAUAACGAACGAGACCUUGGCCAGCUAAAUAGGGCGGGGCGUGUUUGCGCACGCCUGCAUGGCUCUUCUUAGAGGGACUAUCUGUGACUAACAGAUGGAAGAAAGGCAAUAACA